rnacentral:rRNA from 1 species
UGCAGGGGCCCUCUGGCGACCGAUGCGGCCGCCUCCACCCCGGGCGCCGACAACGUGUUUCCGCUGGCGUCCAUGCCCGCUGACUUGGUCGAGCUCAUCGGCUGGCUGGUGCUCGCGGGCGACGACCUGCGCGGCUACGUCCGCUUCCGCUCCGUGUGCACGCACGUGCGGUCCAGCACACCAUGCCCGCGCGCAAAUGGCAUCGCCAUCCCGCGCUUCCACCCGCGACGGUGGACGAUGCUGCCCGAGGGCCACGACCUCCACCUUGAAGAUGGCCGGAUGCGUUUCCUCAACCUCGACACCGGAGCGUUUGUCCGCCCCCGGCUCCCUCUUCUCGACGACCAUCGCAUCAUCUGCCCGGUUGACGGCCUCCUCCUCCUGCAGCGGCACCGGCAACAUGAUAAUGAAAACGGCGAUGAUCUAUGCAUGCUUCACCCCUUCACGGGGACUGUUGCCAAGUUCCCGCCAAUCACGUAUGUCACGAUGAGUUUGGGAUCAAUACAUUGGAGUUCACGCAUGGAGCGUCCUUACUUGUCGCCAGGCAGGAUGACUGCCUCCUUGAGCAUUCGUGCUGACAGAGUUCCUAUGCUCAUGAUCGUGCUUCUAGAUUUGUCGCGUGUGGUAUUCGCUACCACCAACGACAAGCAAUGGAGUUUCUCGGCCUGGACCUUCUCCCUGGAUAACAGCAUCAUAACAUCAUCUCAAGGCAAAUUUUACAUGCUGCAGAAGCCCGCGUCAUCGAGCACCAAUGAACCACGAAUUUUUCGGAUCGACCCACCUCGCCAUGAAAAGACGUCUGGAUUCAGCACGACUUCGUUUCAGCCACCCGAGGUGAUCGCCAUAUGUCCAAAGGGCAAGAUCCACACUCCUUUUGAACUGAUAGAAUGUGACUCGGAGAUAUUGCUCGUCGGUUCCAGCAGCGAGCACUCCAAGCGCAUGGUAGUGUACAACGUAGCGGAUCUCGUCCUCGGAAGAGUUGUCCCAUUGAAAAGCAUCGGGGGCAAUGCUCUCCUUAUUGAUAUUGCAAGCAGCGAAACUGUCAUCAGAAGGAGUCUGAGUGUCGGUUUUAAGGUUGUUCCUACCAUUACAGGUGACACCAUUGUACGCAGGGAUCCUACACGUUAUAGAUGUCUUGAACAAUAUCACCUCGGUAAUGGAACUUGGUCAUCAAGAGCGGUGGUGUGCGCCAAACAUGAUGUUCACGGGCGUUGCACUUGUGGCCUCAUCAACCAUAUGUAUGGUGUCUGC